AAACAUAGCCGGUAGUUAUAUAAUUAUCGGUGAUACCUGCCCAGUGAAUUUUCAACGGCCGCAGUACUAUGACUGUGCAAAGGUAGCAUAAUCAUUUGGCUUUUAAUUGAAGUCUGGUAUGAAAGGAUAAACGUACUUUAGCUGUCUAUAUACAAAAUUUAUUAAAAUUAUUUAUAGGGUGAAAAUACCCUAAUUAAGAAAAAAAGACGAGAAGACCCUUAGAAUUUUAAGCAGAAGCCAACUCUGGUAGGGCGUGAUUUUUGUUGGGGCAACAUUUUUUCAGGAGAACAAAAGAUUUAUACUAAAACUACAAAACGAAUGUGUUUAAUAAAGUAAAAAUUACCUAAGGGAUAACAGCAUAAUUUUAAGUAAAGAUUGUGACCUCGAUGUUGGAUUAGGAACUAUUAAGGCUAGUCGUUUUAAUAUAAUAGGUUCUGUUCGAACUUUAUUUCCUA
rnacentral:rRNA from 1 species